rnacentral:rRNA from 1 species
AGAGUUUGAUCCUGGCUCAGGACGAACGCUGGCGGCGUGCGUAAUACAUGCAAGUCGAACGAACUCUGGUAUUGAUUGGUGCUUGCAUCAUGAUUUACAUUUGAGUGAGUGGCGAACUGGUGAGUAACACGUGGGAAACCUGCCCAGAAGCGGGGGAUAACACCUGGAAACAGAUGCUAAUACCGCAUAACAACUUGGACCGCAUGGUCCGAGCUUGAAAGAUGGCUUCGGCUAUCACUUUUGGAUGGUCCCGCGGCGUAUUAGCUAGAUGGUGGGGUAACGGCUCACCAUGGCAAUGAUACGUAGCCGACCUGAGAGGGUAAUCGGCCACAUUGGGACUGAGACACGGCCCAAACUCCUACGGGAGGCAGCAGUAGGGAAUCUUCCACAAUGGACGAAAGUCUGAUGGAGCAACGCCGCGUGAGUGAAGAAGGGUUUCGGCUCGUAAAACUCUGUUGUUAAAGAAGAACAUAUCUGAGAGUAACUGUUCAGGUAUUGACGGUAUUUAACCAGAAAGCCACGGCUAACUACGUGCCAGCAGCCGCGGUAAUACGUAGGUGGCAAGCGUUGUCUGGAUUUAUUGGGCGUAAAGCGAGCGCAGGCGGUUUUUUAAGUCUGAUGUGAAAGCCUUCGGCUCAACCGAAGAAGUGCAUCGGAAACUGGGAAACUUGAGUGCAGAAGAGGACAGUGGAACUCCAUGUGUAGCGGUGAAAUGCGUAGAUAUAUGGAAGAACACCAGCGGCGAAGGCGGCUGUCUGGUCUGUAACUGACGCUGAGGCUCGAAAGUAUGGGUAGCAAACAGGAUUAGAUACCCUGGUAGUCCAUACCGUAAACGAUGAAUGCUAAGUGUUGGAGGGUUUCCGCCCUUCAGUGCUGCAGCU